rnacentral:lncRNA from 1 species
UUUUUUUUCUUUAAAAGCAAUUUAUUUCUCAUUACAAAAUACAGGUGAGGAGCAUGGCGAUGCCUAUGGCCCCUUGGUUGUACAUCUUCCCAGUCUAUUUCUGCUUCUAGAAAUACCCUGUGUACAACAGCAAGCUCAUGCUGUUCCCAAGUGCUUGCACAUUCUAACAGCUGCAGAGUAUAUGACCAGGUGGAAAGUCCAACAGAUGCCCCACUCACAAGGUAGGGCCCUGCAGCCCAUCUUCUGGUUCCCUUUUGCUAACAGUAACUGGUUGCUCUUCCUAUUGGUCAUAGAUUAAUGACAGCUGCACAAUUCUCUGAGUGCUUUCAAGCAACCUCGGGAGGCAGUGACUAAGACCCUUUCCUUGCUCCCAGCUUCCUAUGUUCCUGGCCGCCUGUGGCACCUGGACUACUGCUGCCCCUGGGUCCCUCACAUUCCAGGGCGACGAUGGAGGAAGGGCAGGCCACACAUGAGGAAUUAACAGUCUUUAUUGGGCUCAGACCAGGAGUCCGUGGGUCUUGAGGACCUGUGUGUAUUUGUCAAUUUUCUUCUCCACGUUCUUCUCGGCCUGUUUCCGUAGCCUCAUGAGCUGCUUCUUCUUCUGGUAGUGGAUCUUGGCUUUCUCUUUCCUCUUCUCCUCCAGGGUGGCUGUCACUGCCUGGUACUUCCAGCCAACCUCGUGAGCCAGGCGCCCCAGAUAGGCAAACUUUCUUGUAGGCUUCAGACUCACGACCUUGAGGGCAGCAGGAACCACCAUCCGCUUUUUCUUGUUGUAGGGCGGUGGGAUGCCAUCAAACACCUUGAGGCGGUCCAGGGCAGCCUGGCCUCGCUUGGUCUUGUGAGGCAGCAUGCCUCACACCGUCCGCCAGAAGAUGCGGCUGGGGGCCCAGAAGUGGUAAGGGCCUCGGGAAGGGUUGGUGUUCAUCCACUUGUGGAGGAAAACCAGGUACUUCAACUUGUUUCUGUAGAAAUUGCCAGAAAAGUUGAUGCCUUCGCAGUGUACGACCACCACCUUCCAGCCCAGCAGUACCUGUUUAGUCACGAUGACUGCCAGGGGGCCCAGGAGAUGGCCUCGACCAUGGAGCACCAGGACCUGCACCUCCGCCAUCUUCGGCAGCCGCCUGGGAAAGC